UCGUAUUUCUUUUAUCUGUGGUGUCUUUUGGUUUUUCGUCUAUGUUUCUUGGUCAUUUGCAGGACUUUCUGGGGUUUCGAUUGAGUUUUUGCAUGAAGAAGCGAGGGAUUCUGAGCGACAAAACUUCUCUCGGAUGACUUCACGAUUCUAACGGGAAUCCUAAAUGGUGGUUUCAUCAUUCGCAUGACCGCCAUGUAAUCUGGGCGAAAGAUUGGCAACUCUGAGUGGAGCAUAAACGAAUUUAGUUCAUCAAUUUAUCCCCAUUCCGAGGAUCAUGUAACAUUCAGUCUUCAAAAGUUAAGUGUGAGAUUAAGGUGCUUGUAUCACAGUGCUAUAAAAAUAACAUAGCUGUUUUGAUCAUUAAGCACAUGGGGCAAAGUGUAGAGCUUAUCAUUUACAAAAGAAGCCUACUGGAUAUGCCCUUAUGUUGUUGGAGCCCUCAGAGAAGUCUGUUGAGAAUCAUAAUCAGGAAGUUCUCAGAGCAGUAAGCUCAUAGAACAGGAACUUAUUUCUGUUGAUAAAGGAGUCACCUCAGUUGUUAUCAAGGACUGCUGGAGAGUAACUCUUGCGUAGAAGAAUAUGAAAGAUAGAUUACAACCAUAUAGGCUUCUAUUCCAUGGCAUAUUCAAUGAAUCAAGACAAAUACAGGAGAUUAUUGUCUUUACCAUUUGGAAUGAUGAAUAAAAUUUUGGGUUUUGGCUUUAACAGUUUUGGUAUACUGAAUAACCAUGAUGAUUUUGAUUAAUUUUGGAUUAUAUAUUCAUUUCUUAUAUUUUUUGCAAGGUUUGUUACCCUCAUGCCUCAUUCUUUUGAAUAUGUUCGGCUGAGGUUUUGAUUAUUAGUGUUUGUCCUCAACCAUUCUCUUUUUUUGUGUUUGUCAUUGCACCAUUGUUAUCAAGGUGUCGCCUAGAUGUCCAGGUGUCCCUUAAGAAUACUGCCUUGAGCACCUAGGCAUCGCCUCGGCGCCCCCUAGUUGCCUUCUUGGUGUCGCCUUGAUUUCCAGGCCUCCUCCAACGCCUUGGGUCGCCUAGACGCUGUGACAACUAUGCAUCGAACAGUUUUAGUGCACAUUAACCUUCCAACGAAGAUUGUCUUUCUUUAAUCAGAAACUUUAUUGCUUUGACUAGUAAGGCCUCAAAUUGGGAUUUUUACUUGCUAUAUAAAGAAAUGUGCCUAUGAGAAUUUCCAUUUGACUAAUGAAAGUGAAACCCCAUUGUAUGCCUCUGGGCUGUGUUCAUAAAUAUCCCUACUGUUUGAUCAAUGAUGUUUGCAUUAUUCAAAUGUUUGUUUUGCAAGAAUUCGUGGAUUCUUUGAUACUCAGCCAUGAGCCUCGUUGAAAGAUACCCUACAUGAAGGCUUCUUGAUUCCUAAGAUGGUUGAACUCAUAUUCUGUCCAUUGUCAAAGGAAAGCAAGUUUGUUGACCACAGAUGGAUGUGCACUGCAGUAUUUGUAGAUUUCUUGACAGAAAGAAUGAUAAACUCUUUGUAAAUGUGUUAAACAGUAUAAACGGCCAACUAUACUGUAUUUUAAUUAUCAUUUCCAACGGCCAUUACAAGAUUCUGCAGAGACUUGCUUCCUGCUGCUGAUGGCAAAAGGGUGAACAUACUAGCUUUUAGAUUAAAGUGUAUGUGCGCAUGAAAAUCAUCAGGAGUUGACAUUGUA